GCCGGAGUGGUGAAACUGGCAGACACGCUGGACUCAAAAUCCAGUGGGACUUAAAUCCCGUAUCGGUUCAAUUCCGAUCUCCGGCA
rnacentral:tRNA from 6 species